UACGAAGGGGGCAAGCGUUGCUCGGAUUUAUUGGGCGUAAAGGGUGUGUAGGCGGCUUUGUAAGUUAGAUGUGAAAUCCCAGGGCUUAACCCUGGAACUGCAUUUAAGACUGCAAGGCUUGAAGUUCGAAGAGGUUAGCAGAAUUUCCAGUGUAGAGGUGAAAUUCGUAGAUAUUGGAAAGAAUACCAAUGGCGUAGGCAGCUAACUGGUCGACACUUGACGCUGAGGCACGAAAGCGUGGGGAGCAAACAGG
rnacentral:rRNA from 1 species